ACAGCAGUCGCCGCGGUAAUCCGAAGGGGGCUAGCGUUGAUCGGAUUUACUGGGCGUAAAGCGCACGUAGGCGGACUUUUAAGUCAGGGGUGAAAUCCCGGGGCUCAACCCCGGAACUGCCUUUGAUACUGGGAGUCUUGAGUAUGGUAGAGGUGAGUGGAAUUCCGAGUGUAGAGGUGAAAUUCGUAGAUAUUCGGAGGAACACCAGUGGCGAAGGCGGCUCACUGGACCAUUACUGACGCUGAGGUGCGAAAGCGUGGGGAGCAAACAGGAUUAGAUACCCCCGUAGUCCCUGUCUCUUAUAC
rnacentral:rRNA from 1 species